GAUGAACGCUAGCUGGAGGCUUAAUACAUGCAAGUCGAGCGGGAUUGGUAGCAAUACCAUGAGAGCGGCGCACGGGUGAGUAACGCGUACACGACCUACCUCUGACAGGGGGAUAGCCCUGGGAAACUGGGAUUAAUACCGCAUAUUAUUCUGAUUAAUAAAGGAUUGGAAUGAAAGUUCAGGCGGUCAGAGAUGGGUGUGCGUCUGAUUAGCUAGUUGGUGGGGUAACGGCCUACCAAGGCGAUGAUCAGUAGGGGGCGUGAGAGCGUGGUCCCCCACACGGGUACUGAGACACGGACCCGACUCCUACGGGAGGCAGCAGUAAGGAAUAUUGGACAAUGGCCGCAAGGCUGAUCCAGCCAUCCAGCGUGCAGGAAGAAGGCCCUAUGGGUUGUAAACUGCUUUUAUCAGGGAAGAAACCUCUGGAUUUACUCCGGAGCUGACGGUACCUGAAGAAUAAGCACCGGCUAACUCCGUGCCAGCCGCCGCCGUAAUAC
rnacentral:rRNA from 1 species